CAGCUAUAUACUCUUCCUGACCACUUCUAGGUCCGUGAUCAUAUAUCCUGACUAGGAUUGCUGCCUCUAUACUACUGUAAAGACCUAAGCCAACCCUCUUUUGGGAGCCCUCACCUUGGAAAUUAAAGAAACUAUAUACUCUUCCUGACCACUUCUAGGUCCGUGAUCAUAUAUCCUGACUAGGAUUGCUGCCUCUAUACUACUGUAAAGACCUAAGCCAACCCUCUUUUGGGAGCCCUCACCUUGGAAAUUAAAGAAACUAUAUACUCUUCCUGACCACUUCUAGGUCCGUGAUCAUAUAUCCUGACUAGGAUUGCUGCCUCUAUACUACUGUAAAGACCUAAGCCAACCCUCUUUUGGGAGCCCUCACCUUGGAAAUUAAAGAAACUAUAUACUCUUCCUGACCACUUCUAGGUCCGUGAUCAUAUAUCCUGACUAGGAUUGCUGCCUCUAUACUACUGUAAAGACCUAAGCCAACCCUCUUUUGGGAGCCCUCACCUUGGAAAUUAAAGAAAGUAUGUCCUACAAUUCCUGCAACUUGUACAUUUCUGUUGUUAGCCUUUAAUUGUACAACCCGUAGCCAGGUCAGCCAGCAGCCUCCCAUUGUUUCUUCCUAACAUCUAACCUAAGUCUCUGUUAGAAUCCCCAGCUACCUGCCUUG